rnacentral:tRNA from 1 species
UAGCUCAGAAGUAGAGCAUGUGCUUAGGAUGCACAAGGUCCUGGGUUCAAUCCCCAG